CCAGACUGGAACUGAGACACGGUCCAGACUCCUACGGGAGGCAGCAGUGAGGAAUAUUUCACAAUGAGCGAAAGCUUGAUGGAGCAAUGCCGCGUGCAGGAUGAAGGCCCUCGGGUUGUAAACUGCUUUUAUAAGAGAAGAUUAUGACGGUAACUUAUGAAUAAGGGACGGCUAACUACGUGCCAGCAGCCGCGGUCAUACGUAGGUCCCGAGCGUUAUCCGGAGUGACUGGGCGUAAAGAGUUGCGUAGGCGGUCAAGUUAGCGAGCGAUGAAAACUAUCGGCUCAACCGAUAGCUUGUUGUUCGAACUGCUUGACUCGAGAGUAUCAGAGGUCGCUGGAAUUCCUAGUGUAGCAGUGAAAUGCGUAGAUAUUAGGAAGAACACCGAUGGCGUAGGCAGGCGACUGGGAUAUUUCUGACGCUAAGGCACGAAAGCGUGGGUAGCGAACCGGAUUAGAUACCCGGGUAGUCCACGCCGUAAACGAUGGAUGCUAAUUGUUUGAGGUAUCGACCCCUCGAGUAAUAAAGCUAACGCGUUAAGCAUCCCGCCUGUGGAGUACGGCCGCAAGGCUAAAACAUAAAGGAAUUGACGGGGACCCGCACAAGCGGUGGAUCGUGUUCUUUAAUUCGAUGCUAAACGAAGAACCUUACCAGGGCUUGACAUCCAGGGAAUUUUUGGGAAACCAAUUAGUGCCUUUUGGAACCCUGUGACAGGUGAUGCAUGGCCGUCGUCAGCUCGUGUCGUGAGAUGUUUGGUUAAGUCCAUCAACGAGCGCAACCCUUGUCGUCAGUUGUAUUUUUCUGGCGAGACUGCCCCGGUAACGGGGAGGAAGGAGGGGAUGAUGUCUGGUCAGUAUUGGUCUUACGCCCUGGGCUAGAAACGUCCUACAAUGGUCGGUACAAUGGGCAGCCAACCCGUGAGGGGGAGCAAAUCCCAUCAAAGCCGGUCUCAGUUCGGAUUGCAGGCUGAAACUCGCCUGCAUGAAGUCGGAAUCGCUAGUAAUCGCAAAUCAGCAAGUUGCGGUGAAUACGUUCCCGGGUCUUGUACACACCGCCCGUCAAACCAUGAAAGUGACCAACACCCGAAGUCCGAUUCGUCGGCCUAAGGUGGGGGGCAUGAUUGGGGUUAAGUCGUAACAAGGUAUCCGUACCGGAAGGUGCGGAUG
rnacentral:rRNA from 1 species